AACAAACGCUGGCGGCGUGCCUAAUACAUGCAAGUCGAACGGGGAAAGCUUUCGGGUGAGUACUAGUGGCGCACGGGUGAGUAACGCGUGGAUAAUCUGCCUUAGAGUGGGGGAUAACUAGUCGAAAGAUUAGCUAAUACCGCAUAAGACCACAGGAACCGAGGUUCUAGAGGUCAAAGGUUUUUCGCUCUAAGAUGAGUCCGCGUAAGAUUAGCUAGUUGGUGAGGUAACGGCUCACCAAGGCAACGAUCUUUAACUGGUCUGAGAGGAUGAUCAGUCACACUGGAACUGAGACACGGUCCAGACUCCUAUGGGAGGCAGCAGUAGGGAAUAUUGCACAAUGGAGGAAACUCUGAUGCAGCGACGCCGCGUGAGUGAUGAAGGCCUUCGGGUCGUAAAGCUCUGUCGCAGGGGAAUAACACAAUGAAUGUACCCUGUAAGAAAGGAUCGGCUAACUUCGUGCCAGCCGCCGCGGUAAAAC
rnacentral:rRNA from 1 species